rnacentral:rRNA from 1 species
CAAGAGUCCACAUCGACGGGGAGGUUUGGCACCUCGAUGUCGGCUCAUCACAUCCUGGGGCUGUAGUAGGUCCCAAGGGUUGGGCUGUUCGCCCAUUAAAGUGGUACGCGAGCUGGGUUCAGAACGUCGUGAGACAGUUCGGUCCCUAUCCGUCGCAGGCGUAGGAAAUUUGAGAAGACCUGUCCUUAGUACGAGAGGACCGGGAUGGACGUACCUCUGGUGUACCAGUUGUUCUGCCAAGGGCAUGGCUGGGUAGCUAUGUACGGAAUGGAUAAGCGCUGAAAGCAUCUAAGCGCGAAGCCAACUUCAAGAUAAGAUUUCCCACCGCAAGGGUAAGACCCCAGAAAGACUAUCUGGUUGAUAGGUCGAAGGUGUAAGUGCAGCAAUGUAUUUAGCUUAUCGAUACUAAUAGGUCGAGGACUUGACCAAU